rnacentral:lncRNA from 1 species
GGAAUAUAUAAUGCUAUAUGAAAACAAACACCGCGUCAAUUAACCGUCAAGCACAUUUCUACAGAACUCCAAACGAUCGCCUUCAUUUAACGCCAGUAUCUGGUGAAUUCCUCUGAGUGCUAUCCAUAUAUGAACAAUUUCAAGUAUGUAACACGUAUAACCCUCAUCUAACAUUUAAAGUAAUAUUCACCGGUUAAUUUUAAAGGACAUCGCGGCAAUGGUCAAAAGGAAC